CACUGGGACUGAGAUACGGCCCAGACUCCUACGGGAGGCAGCAGUGGGAAUAUUGCGCAAUGGACGAAAGUCUGACGCAGCAACGCCGCGUGAUCGAUGACGCUUUAAGGAGUGUAAAGAUCUGUCCUAAGGGAAGAAUGGUUUCAAGUUGAAUAAGCUUGAUUCGUGACGGUACCUUAGAGGAAAGCGCCGGCUAACUUCGUGCCAGCAGCCGCGGUAAUACGAGGGGCGCAAGCGUUGUCCGGAUUCAUUGGGUGUAAAGGGUGCGUAGGUGGAUUGGUAAGUUAGAAUUUAAAUCCCGCAGCUUAACUGCGGACCUGGUUCUAAAACUGCUGAUCUUGAGUUCGAAAGAGGGGAGUGGAAUUCCUAGUGUAGCGGUGGAAUGCGUAGAUAUUAGGAGGAACACCAGUGGCGAAGGCGGCUCUCUGGUUCGAUACUGACACUAAGGCACGAAAGCGUGGGGAGCAAACAGGAUUAGAUACCCUGGUAGUCCACGCCGUAAACGAUGAGUACUUGGUGCUGGAGGAAUUCAACCCCUUCGGUGCCGGAGUUAACGCGUUAAGUACUCCACCUGGGGACUACGGUCGCAAGGCUGAAACUCAAAGGAACUGACGGGGGCCCGCACAAGCGGUGGAACAUGUGGUUUAAUUCGAAGCAACGCGAAGAACCUUACCUGGCUUUGACAUGUUAGUGAACCUCCGGUGAAAGCCGGAGUCUCCAAGAGCUUGCUCGAGGACACUAUCACAGGUGGUGCAUGGCCGUCGUCAGCUCGUGUCGUGAGAUGUUGGGUUAAGUCCCGCAACGAGCGCAACCCCUAUCUAUAUUUGCCAUCAGGUUAAGCUGGGCACUAUAUGGAGACUGUACGCGCAAGCGUGAGGAAGGUGGGGAUGACGUCAGGUCAGUAUGUCCCUUACAGCCAGGGCUACACACGUGUUACAAUGGCCGGUACAAAGGGUCGCGAAGCCGCAAGGUGGAGCCAAUCCCAGAAAACCGGUCUAAGUUCGGAUUGGGGUCUGCAACUCGACCCCAUGAAGGUGGAAUCGCUAGUAAUCCCGGAUCAGCACGCCGGGGUGAAUACGUUCCCGGGCCUUGUACACACCGCCCGUCACGCCAUGGAAGUUGGUAGUGCCGUAAGCCAGUGGCCUAACCCCUCGGGGAAGGAGCUGUCAAUGGUAAGACCGAUGACUAGGGCGAAGUCGUAACAAGGUA
rnacentral:rRNA from 1 species